UACGUAGGGGGCGAGCGUUGUCCGGAUUUAUUGGGCGUAAAGAGCUCGUAGGCGGUUCGAUAAGUCGGACGUGAAAUCUCCACGCUCAACGUGGAGGGGCCGUUCGAUACUGUCGUGACUCGAGUCCGGUAGGGGAGUGUGGAAUUCCCGGUGUAGCGGUGAAAUGCGCAGAGAUCGGAAGGAACGCCCGCGGCGAAAGCGCGUCCCUGGACCCCACCUGACGCUGAGACGCGAAAGCCAGGGGAGCGAACGGG
rnacentral:rRNA from 1 species